rnacentral:rRNA from 1 species
UACGGAGGGUGCAAGCGUUAAUCGGAAUUACUGGGCGUAAAGCGUGCGCAGGCGGUUUGUUAAGUCUGCUGUGAAAUCCCCGAGCUCAACUUGGGAAUUGCAGUAGAUACUGGCAAGCUGGAGUACGGUAGAGGAAGGUGGAAUUCCCGGUGUAGCAGUGAAAUGCGUAGAGAUCGGGAGGAACACCAGUGGCGAAGGCGGCCUUCUGGACCAGUACUGACGCUCAUGCACGAAAGCGUGGGGAGCAAACAGG